UGGGUGUCGGGUGCGGUGCGCGCUGCUUUAUAGCGCGCUGACGGACGGAGUCAGUUGGAGAGGCCGGGGGCAGGGGUGGGGGGCCCGGUCGGCCACCUUGCCUUAUUUGGUCGCCUUCGUACCACUGAGGAGCGCCGAGGCCAUUCAUGGAGCCAAGGGCAGGGGAGAGGAUCAGCCAGGGGGGCCCCCAGACCAUGUGACCUUCUGUAAACCGGGGGAAAAGCCUAUAAGACCGAGAGAGCAAAUCCUUGCCAAGAAGAUAACCGCAACUUCAACCAUAUAAACAUACGUCGUAUGGACGAGCCGUGUCGUCAUAACCAGCAAUGAGUUAGAAAGGCAGAGAGUCCCUGGGCCUGCCCUAGCUAAAGGGGAAUCUGCAUUGUAGCCAGAUGCCCGGUUGAUUUACAGGUACAUUAAAGUGUGAGAAGCA